UACGGAGGGAGCUAGCGUUGUUCGGAAUUACUGGGCGUAAAGCGCACGUAGGCGGCGAUUCAAGUCAGAGGUGAAAGCCCGGGGCUCAACCCCGGAACUGCCUUUGAAACUAGAUUGCUAGAAUCCUGGAGAGGUGAGUGGAAUUCCGAGUGUAGAGGUGAAAUUCGUAGAUAUUCGGAAGAACACCAGUGGCGAAGGCGGACUCACUGGACAGGUAUUGACGCUGAGGUGCGAAAGCGUGGGGAGCAAACAGGG
rnacentral:rRNA from 1 species